rnacentral:rRNA from 1 species
CACGGGAAAUCUUACCAGGUCCAGACAUAGCGAGGAUUGACAGAUUGAUAGCUCUUUCUUGAUUCUAUGGGUAUUUUUGGUGGUGCAUGGCCGUUCUUAGUUGGUGGAGUGAUUUGUCUGGUUAAUUCCGUUAAACGAACGAGACCUCAGCCUGCUAAAUAGUUACUUGUCUUUCCUUUUACGAGACAUGUUAACUUCUUAGAGGGACGUUGUGUGCAACCACAAGGAAGUUGAGGCAAUAACAGGUCUGUGAUGCCCUUAGAUGUCCUGGGCCGCACGCGUGCUACACUGAUACGUACAACGAGGUAUAUGCAUUUAUACAUCGAUGCUGCUCCGAAAUAGACAAAGCUAAAUCUUCUAAAAUACGUAUCGUGCUGCGGAUAGAUCGUUGAAAUUAUGAAUCUUGAAGGUGGAAUUCCUAGUAAGCGCGGGUCAUCAACCCGCGUUGAUUACGUCCCUGCCCUUUGUACACACCGCCCGUCGCUCCUACCAAUUUCGAGUGGCUCGGUGAACCUCUUUGGACUGUCGAGCAAUCGCGAAAUUAGAGUGAACCUGGUCACUUAGAGGAAGGAGAAGUCGUAACAAGGUUUCCGUAGGU